GACGAACGCUGGCGGCGUGCCUAACACAUGCAAGUCGAACGGAGUUCCUGAGAAUUGAAGCUUCGGCAGAUUUUUCUUGAACUUAGUGGCGGACGGGUGAGUAACGCGUGAGGAACCUGCCUUCCAGAGGGGGACGAACAGUUGGAACGACUGCUAAUACCGCAUAAUGCAUUUUUAUCGCAUGAUUUAAAUGCCAAAGAUUUUAUCGCUGGAAGAUGGCCUCGCGUCUGAUUAGCUAGUUGGUGGGGUAACGGCCCACCAAGGCGACGAUCAGUAGCCGGUCUGAGAGGAUGAACGGCCACAUUGGGACUGAGAUACGGCCCAGACUCCUACGGGAGGCAGCAGUGGGGAAUAUUGGGCAAUGGGGGAAACCCUGACCCAGCAACGCCGCGUGAAGGAAGAAGGCCUUC
rnacentral:rRNA from 1 species